CAAUUCUUGCCCCUUCAACUAAAAGCGUUAAAUAAACGCAAAAACUUGGGUGAGGUCAACCUCACCGCAUGAGACGGGUUUGCCCGACCCGAAUUCGCACCCGGCCCGACCCGUAGUAACAAAAUAUAAAAGCCUUUUUUCUAAUUAUUUUGCCCGAUAUUUCUCUCCGCCGCUUCAAUUCUCUCUCUCGGCUCUUUCAAUUCUUCUCUCGCCGCUUCAAUUAUUCGCUCAAGUCCACCGCUUCAAGUUCGUCUUCGAUUUCUCCGUUCACCGGUGUGAUUCCGUUCUUCGUUUCCGAUCAAGGUACGUCUUCUUCAUUUUUUCUUCAUUUUUCCUCAGUUUUUUCCUCUUCUCACUGUGCUUGAUUUUCGAUUCUCUUCUUCUAGGUUCUCCGGCGUGAAUUUCGGCGUGUUUUACGUGAUUCCUCAGUUUAUAAUUUUUCUUCGCUUUUCUUCAGCAGCGGCGGCGGAAAUUCUGUAGUGAAGGAGUUAGGGCACGGCCUUGUUUUUGUUGUGCGGAGAGGAAAGACAGAGACAAAAAUGGAGUUUGGAUAGGGGCGGAGGAAUAAAAGGGUACCUCCAAGUUUUUGCCUUGGAGAAUUAACUUCACAGAAGAGAGAGGGCCAUCCCACGACAUUUUGAUCCCAAACGAUCUCUGGCCGCUAUUUCUGACAAGGAGCAUUUCGUGGGAGCCCAGAAAACUGGAUUUUUGUGAAGGAAAUGAAAGCGGGUGAGAAUUAUAGGAGCAGCUAAACGAUGAAGAAGAAGACGAAGUGGAGCAGGAAACAUGGUGCUGAUGAGUGAAGCUCUUCUGUAUAGUUGGAGCUGCCAGUAGCGUAGCCAUCUUUUUUCUUAAUACUUUGGGAUUUGAGUUUCUUUGAAUUUCACUCUUGAUGAUUGUUCUUGAUUCUUGAAGAUGAACAUGAAUGCUGUACAAACAGCCAUUUAGAGAGCCUUUUGUUAUUUAGUUAUUUAGUCGAGUAAAUAUUAUCUUAAUAUAAAGUAAUUAUUGAUACGAUGAAAG
rnacentral:lncRNA from 1 species